rnacentral:rRNA from 2 species
UUCCGGUUGAUCCUGCCGGAGACCACUGCUAUCGGAGUCCGACUAAGCCAUGCGAGGCGUUUGCUUUGUUUGGUGUUCGCAAGAGCACUAAACAAAGCAAGCCGUACUGCUGAGUAACACGUAGCUAAUCUACCCUAAGGUCAGGGAUAACCUCGGGAAACUGAGAAUAAUCCCUGAUAGGCGAGGAUUGCUGGAAUGCGUUCUCGCCGAAAGCUAUGAAUAUUUCAUAGCGCCUUAGGAUGAGGCUGCGGCGGAUUAGGUUGUUGUUUGGGUAAAAACCAAACAAGCCUAUAAUCCGUAGGGGUCUUGAGAGAGAUAGCCCCCAGAUGGAUUCUGAGACAUGAAUCCAGGCUCUAUGGAGCGCAGCAGGCGCGAAACCUUCGCAAUGCCCGAAAGGGUGACGAGGGGACUCCGAGUGCUCUCUACUAAUGUAGAGAGCUUUUGCCAAGUUUAAAAAGCUUGGCGAAUAAGGGGUGGGCAAGACGGUUGCCAGCCGCCGCGGUAAUAACCGCGCCCCGAGUGGUGGUCACGAUUAUUGGGCCUAAAGCAUCCGUAGCCGGCCUUGCAAGUCUUUUGUGAAAUCCUCUUGUAAACAAGAGGGCUCGCUUAAGAUACUGCAAGGCUAGGGAUAGGGAGAGGCCGAAGGUACUCUCGAGGUAGGGGUCAAAUCCGUUAAUCUCGAGGGGACCACCUGUGGCGAAGGCGUUCGGCCAGAACUAUUCCGACGGUCAUGGAUGAAAGCUAGGGGAGCGAUCGGGAUUAGAUACCCCGGUAGUCCUAGCCGUAAACGAUGCCCACUUGUUGUGGCAGAACUCUCGGAGUUCUGCUGCGGCGUAGCGAAGGCGUUAAGUGGGCCGCCUGGGGAGUACGGCCGCAAGGCUGAAACUUAAAGGAAUUGGCGGGGGAGCACUACAAGGGGUGGAGGCUACGGUUCAAUUGGAUGCAACGCCGGGAACCUGACCAGGGAAGACAGCAGGAUGACGGUCAGCCUGAAGGGCUUACCUGACAAGCUGAGAGGUGCUGCAUGGCCGUCGUCAGCUCGUGCCGUGAGGUGUCCUGUUAAGUCAGGAAACGAGCGAGACCCACGCCCCUAGUUGCUACUUUCCUUUAAGGAAAGGCACUCUAGGGGGACUGCCCGCGCUUAGUGGGAGGAAGGAGUGGGCGACGGCAGGUCCGUACGGCCCGAAAUCCCUGGGUUACACGUGGCCUACAAUGCGUAGGACAACGGGUUGCGACUCCGUAAGGAGGAGCUAAUCCCUUAAACCUACGCCCAGUUCGGAUUGAGGAUUGCAACUCAUCCUCAUGAAGCCGGAAUCCCUAGUAAGCGGGGGUCAUCAUCUCUCGCUGAAUACGUCCCUGCUCCUUGCACACACCGCCCGUCAAGCCAACCGAUCGAAGGUUUGGUGAGAGUCACAUAAGCAUUGU